CUACGGGAGGCAGCAGUGGGGAAUAUUGGACAAUGGGCGAAAGCCUGAUCCAGCCAUGCCGCGUGUGUGAAGAAGGUCUUCGGAUUGUAAAGCACUUUAAGUUGGGAGGAAGGGCAGUAAGUUAAUACCUUGCUGUUUUGACGUUACCAACAGAA
rnacentral:rRNA from 1 species